rnacentral:rRNA from 1 species
AACGAACGCUGGCGGCAUGCCUUACACAUGCAAGUCGAACGGUAACAGGUCUUCGGAUGCUGACGAGUGGCGAACGGGUGAGUAAUACAUCGGAACGUGCCUAGUAGUGGGGGAUAACUACCCGAAAGAGUGGCUAAUACCGCAUGAGAUCUACGGAUGAAAGCAGGGGAUCGCAAGACCUUGUGCUACUAGAGCGGCCGAUGGCAGAUUAGGUAGUUGGUGGGAUAAAAGCUUACCAAGCCGACGAUCUGUAGCUGGUCUGAGAGGACGAUCAGCCACACUGGGACUGAGACACGGCCCAGACUCCUACGGGAGGCAGCAGUGGGGAAUUUUGGACAAUGGGCGCAAGCCUGAUCCAGCAAUGCCGCGUGCAGGAUGAAGGCCUUCGGGUUGUAAACUGCUUUUGUACGGAACGAAAAGCCCCGGGUUAAUACCCUGGGGUCAUGACGGUACCGUAAGAAUAAGCACCGGCUAACUACGUGCCAGCAGCCGCAGUAACAC